rnacentral:rRNA from 1 species
GAGUUUGAUCAUGGCUCAGAUUGAACGCUGGCGGCAGGCCUAACACAUGCAAGUCGAGCGGAUGACGGGAGCUUGCUCCUUGAUUCAGCGGCGGACGGGUGAGUAAUGCCUAGGAAUCUGCCUGGUAGUGGGGGACAACGUUUCGAAAGGAACGCUAAUACCGCAUACGUCCUACGGGAGAAAGCAGGGGACCUUCGGGCCUUGCGCUAUCAGAUGAGCCUAGGUCGGAUUAGCUAGUUGGUGGGGUAAUGGCUCACCAAGGCGACGAUCCGUAACUGGUCUGAGAGGAUGAUCAGUCACACUGGAACUGAGACACGGUCCAGACUCCUACGGGAGGCAGCAGUGGGGAAUAUUGGACAAUGGGCGAAAGCCUGAUCCAGCCAUGCCGCGUGUGUGAAGAAGGUCUUCGGAUUGUAAAGCACUUUAAGUUGGGAGGAAGGGCAGUAAGUUAAUACCUUGCUGUUUGACGUUACCGACAGAAUAAGCACCGGCUAACUCUGUGCC